rnacentral:rRNA from 1 species
UACGGAGGAUCCAAGCGUUAUCCGGAUUUAUUGGGUUUAAAGGGUGCGUAGGUGGGAUGCUAAGUCAGAGGUGAAAGCUAGCAGCUUAACUGUUAAAUUGCCUUUGAUACUGUUAUUCUUGAGUAUAGUUGGCGUUGGCGGAAUGUGACAUGUAGCGGUGAAAUGCGUAGAUAUGUCACAGAACACCGAUCGCGAAGGCAGCUAACGAAACUAUCACUGACACUGAUGCACGAAAGCGUGGGGAGCAAACAGG